UCAGACGAUGCGUCAUGCAUAUCAAUAAGCGGAGGAAAAGAAACUAACAAGGAUUCCCCUAGUAACGGCGAGUGAAGCGGGAAGAGCUCAAAUUUGAAAUCUUAAAGGGUUUCCCUUUACGAAUUGUAGUUUAAAGAAGUGUUUUCUGUUGAGAUUUUGGUAAAAGUUCUUUGGAAUAGGACAUCAUAGAGGGUGAGAAUCCCGUAUUUGACCUUUACUUUCAACUUUGUGAUACACUUUCAAAGAGUCGGAUUGUUUGGGAAUGCAGUCCAAAAUGGGUGGUAAAUCUCAUCUAAAGCUAAAUAUUGGCGAGAGACCGAUAGCGAACAAGUACCGUGAGGGAAAGAUGAAAAGAACUUUGAAAAGAGAGUUAAACAGUACGUGAAAUUGUCAAAAGGGAAGCGUUUGACACCAGUGUUGUUUUUCUGAAAAUCAAUUAAAGAACUGUUUAUGCUAAGCUGUUUAGACUUUAUCAGCUAUCUGUUUAGUUUUGAGCUUUUCUUUAAUGCACUUUUCAGUUAACAAGUCAACAUCAAUUUCUUUUGCUGUAAAAAAGCUUGAGGAAGGUGGCUUGAGAUUCGUCUUAAGUGUUUAUAGCCUCUUGCCUAUGCAGUCGGAGAGAUUGAGGUCUGCAGCGUAGAUCCUUCGGGGCUAAAUGCAUUUGUGCUAAGUUAUAGCAUUUCAUAGACAACUUGUUGACUAUGAUUUGUCUUGUAGCUUACUCGCUUAUGUUAUUUUACCUACGCUUAGGAUGUUGAAUCUGUGCGAGACUAC
rnacentral:rRNA from 1 species